CAACAACUAAAUUGCCUGUAAAUGUGGAGGUAAUGAGAAGAGAUGGUUCAGGAGUCAAGGACUGCCAGAUGGUAAAGCUAGGUGCAGAUUGUUUCCAGAAUCAGACUGUGAGAACAUCUACUGAGAUAACAAAGAUGACAGGUCAUACCCAGCCAAGAGGCCCAGGGAGCAGCGGGCAUGGUAGUGUGCAGACAUCUGAGGACGGCAAGAUGGUGGGAGCCCCCAAAAAGCCACAGUCUGACAGACACAACUGAGAGACUUGGCUGACUGGCUGCAUGGUACAGAUGAAUCCUGAGCAGUUUAAGACCCUCUUUCUCUCAAUAACAAAGCACAUAAGCACAUGCCCACACACAUAUACACGUACAUACAAACA
ensembl:lncRNA